UUGUCUAUUAAUUGUAGACCUGUAUGAAAGGCAAAAUGAGGGCCUAACUGUCUCUUAUAACUAAUCAAUUAAACUGAUCUCCCAGUACAAAAGCUGGGAUAAAAACAUAAGACCAGAAGACCCUGUGAAGCUUAAACCAAACUAUCAAACCACAUGAUAGCUAAUUUCGGUUGGGGCGACCUUGGAAACAAAAAGAACUUCCAAACAUUAUUCUUAAUAAAAGAAAAUAAAGGCCGACAAGCCAAAUAAAGACCCAGCAUCGCUGAUAAAUGAAACAAGUUACUCCAGGGAUAACAGCGCUAUCUUCUUUAAGAGUCCAUAUCAAAAAGAAGGUUUACGACCUCGAUGUUGGAUCAGGACAUCCUAAUGGUGCAGCCGCUAUUAAGGGUUCGUUUGUUCAACGAUU
rnacentral:rRNA from 1 species